AAACAGCUGACUCGGGCACCACUAUUACGGUGUUAACUACUACCAAUCUAAAUGGUGCUGUGUAAAAUGUGUGAAUUCUUUGAAAGAACUCAUCCACCUGGUCAAUUAAUGUCAGCAUGACAAAACAAUGAGGUCCCAUGUGGGUGCCGUGACGAGACCGUGUCCAAAGAUCCUGACAAGGAGUAUGUGGACAAAGAGAAUAUGCAUCAUUACCCCCCCACCUCAGCGUGUCAGGAGGGUACACCCUACUCUCCAUUCCCCCAGGAGGGUGUUCAGGGCUGGGGGGGGGUCAGUCUGGGGUCAGUCCAGCCCAGGGCUCCAGGAAGCUGGGCUGUCAGGGCCUCUGGGACCCCUGCUGUCUGUUUGGGUUGGAAGAGUCAAAGGGCGUGGCCAGCACAACAGGAAGGGCCCUCCUGCACUGACUGACAGGUUGGCCUUUCAGGUGUUUGCCUCUGGGAAGAGUCACCUUUAACCUGAGCUCUGCUGGAGCAAGGGAGACUGUGUUACAGUUUGCUUAGCCUGAGUUUGUAAGAGCUGCAGGUCAAAUUAUGAACGUCUGUCUGGUUUUAAAAGAGAUCACUUGUUAUGAACUUAUGGGAGGUGUACAGUGCCCAUACCUCUGACCCUAUUAGCAAUGUUUGGUCUCCACAUCUCACAUAGUGGGAACAUGAGUAGAAAUGCUCACAGUCUAUUCCCUAAACACUGCAUCUCUGAGUCCCUGAGCCGUUCCCCACAACGUUCUCUCUGCGCUCCCUGAACGUUCCUGGCUAGUGCAGUGGGGCUCCUGGUAUCCUCCAAGCAGACAGCUCUUUAAUGACUGUAGCUCCUGUGAAAAUCGCCAGCGGCGCAUUUCCACUGGAUGCCUCGAGGCUCUGGGAGCUCCUGGUAAAGCUAUCAGCAUCAGCCCUGGCACGGCCUUCUCUUGCUAAGUGGACGGUUGUAAAUAUGAGAGUGACAGAGGGGAACCCGACACCGCCCCCAACCCAACCGCAACGCAGCAACGACGCUCAGGUCCAUGUGAGCGUAAUUACACGGGUGUGGAGCAAUCACACAGCCGGCAGCACACACACACACACACACACACACACACACACACACACACACACACACACACACACACACACACACACACACACACACACACACACACACACACACACACACACACACACACACACACACACACACACACACACACACACACACACACACACACACACACACACACACACACACACACACACACAACAUACAGCAACACACACCUGUUUAGUCACACCCUUGUACACUGGCUUGAUGUUCUUCAUUCUUUUUGUACAUUUUACAUUUAAAAGGGGAAUCUGCAUUUUCUACGUCCAGUUUUGGACUUAUAAAUAUGUACCCAUUGAUUCUUGAAGAAUAUAUGUUCUAAACACCAUCAGAACCCCAAAUAUAAGCUUGUUUUACUCCAAUGCGUUUAAACACUAUAUAGCCUUAAAACAUGGCUAAAACUAGAAUUAUAAAACCAUAACAUCAUGGAUGGUCAGUCCUUGUAUCCAUGGCUCUGUCUAUACAUUUGAGAGCGGUUCGAUUUCUCCAGACCCAUCCCUCACAGCUUUUUACUGUGACAGCGGUGCGGAGAACUCUUCAUUAUUAUUGUCUCAACUGCUUAUCCCUGCAUUAGAAGUCUUGAUGAAUCUCUUUAGUCAUUUGGUUGACCGCAUAUUCCUUCAUGACUCUUCCGUCUCUUCUUCAUCUCUAAGCCCCAUCCACGUGGUUCCAUAAAUACCAAACUUGACUUCAUAUUGGCUUAUUGUCUACUGGGGUCAUUAUGGGGUCCCUAAAACUAGAUGUUUUAUAGUGAUGUGUUGUUUUACAGGGUUCAGCCAUAGUAGUACAGCGCAAAUGGAGAACAUUAGGGUUAAGUACCUUGCUCAAGGGCACGUCGGCAGAUUAUUCACCUUGUCGGCUCAGGUAUUCGAACCAGCAACUAUUCGGUUACUGGCCCAAUGCUCUAACCACUAGAACACCAGCCGCCCUCUGUAUGUAUCCAUCUGUAUGUGGCUGGGACUUCACCAGCCUUACACUUUAUUAAGCAACUAAACACUGAUUUAACAAACACACACGUCAGUCCUCAUUUCUGUCCCAAAACAGACCCUCCAAUUGCAUUAGGUGGAGUGGUUUGUUUGUCUGUCUGUAAUUGUCUGUCAUUGGCUGGUGCUUGAUUACUGUGGUGAUUCUCAUCAGGGACAAGAGUUGAUGA